UACGUAGGGUGCAAGCGUUAAUCGGAAUUACUGGGCGUAAAGCGUGCGCAGGCGGUUUUGUAAGUUUGUCGUGAAAGCCCCGGGCUCAACCUGGGAAUUGCGUUGGAGACUGCAAGGCUUGAAUCUGGCAGAGGGGGGUAGAAUUCCACGUGUAGCAGUGAAAUGCGUAGAGAUGUGGAGGAACACCGAUGGCGAAGGCAGCCCCCUGGGUCAAGAUUGACGCUCAUGCACGAAAGCGUGGGGAGCAAACAGG
rnacentral:rRNA from 1 species